rnacentral:rRNA from 1 species
UACGUAGGGGGCUAGCGUUGUCCGGAAUCAUUGGGCGUAAAGCGCGUGUAGGCGGUCCGGUAAGUCCGCUGUGAAAGUCGGGGGCUCAACCCUCGGAUGCCGGUGGAGUACUGUCGGGCUUGAGUACGGAAGAGGCGAGUGGAAUUCCUGGUGUAGCGGUGAAAUGCGCAGAUAUCAGGAGGAACACCAAUUGCGAAGGCAGCUCGCUGGAACGUUAACUGACGCUGAGACGCGAAAGCGUGGGGAGCAAACAGGAUUGAGAAACCCU